UAAUCUUAACCUCUUUAAAAACAACAAGAUGUCAAUACAUAAACCAAAAUAGUUAUCAAGGAAUCCUGUAACUUAAUCAAAUUCCAGACUAUAGGCGUAUCAACUCAAAAGAAAGACUUUGCCUCCUUGCUAUCUACUGCAUUUUCCAAGCAUCCAUUAUGAUUAAAGUUGUACCCCAAGGACAUUACUCUCAUGCAAAC
rnacentral:lncRNA from 1 species